GAAAACCCUGAAAAUAGUUACAUUUCGUUAUCUCUUCUGAAUUAACCACAGGUUUCCCUUGGGGCACAGGUUCUAACCUGAUAACGCACCCAUGCAAACCAGCAGGUUGACCGCCACAUUUUUUUUAACAACACAACAACUGGUUUCAGAUGCCCCCCGAGAGCCCUGAUUUGAACCCCAUCGAGCUGCUGUGGGCUGAACUGAAGUAUUUCAUCAGGAAUUGGGCAAAACCAAGAACGAAAGAUCAACUGGUAGCUGCCAUUGAAGAAUUUUGGACAAACAUGGAUCAGGCUAAGUGUGUUAAUUAAGAGAAAAUUAAAGCAGAGAGGUUGGUUUGGCCAACUGGGCAAGAACUGGCAUGUGACUGUGGUGAUCUUCUGAAACAAUUUUAAAGAGGCAGUGCAGGAAGUAGAAAGAGGACAGUUAAAGAGAGCAGUGUAGUGGAGGACUUGCAUGCCAAGCUUCUUGAACAAGAAAUGAAAAAAUGCAAUGAAAAAAGAGAAGAGAUUAGAUCUGCAAAUUACUUUACUCAAAAAAAACAAAAAAAAAACAAUAAAUUGACUUGUUUUGGCAGAGACGAAAGAGACACAAGAGGAAGACACUCAAGUUGAUGAUAUUGAUGAGACAGAAGACGACCACUUAAUGGUCACCCCUAUGCGGCCACGGGCAGACAGCAACCCCUCUAGUAGCAGUGGGUCAAGCUCUAGGAGGAAACGGAGAGCGACUGGGGAUGAUGUUGACAGAAUACUCAAGACAAUGUUUCAGAGACAAGAUGAAAUGAGGGACAAAUGGGCCGCACUGGAGAAAGAAGUAGAAAAAAGUCAUAGAAAGUGGGCCAAUGAAAUGGAACAAAGUAGGCAAAGGUGGCUAGAGGGUAUGGAAGAAAGGAAAAGGCAAUGGGCAGAAUCAG
rnacentral:lncRNA from 1 species